rnacentral:tRNA from 1 species
GGGAUCGUCGCGUAGCAGUCGAUCGCAGCGUUUUUGUAAAUCGCCAGGACGCGGGUUCAAAAAACGUCGUCGAAUUACGGCACGUUAGGAAUUCCCGCCGAUCCCUCCA